UGAGGAAUAUUGGUCAAUGGGCGAGAGCCUGAACCAGCCAAGUAGCGUGCAGGAUGACGGCCCUAUGGGUUGUAAACUGCUUUUAUGCGGGGAUAAAGUGAGGGACGUGUCCCUUUUUGCAGGUACCGCAUGAAUAAGGACCGGCCUAAUUCCGUG
rnacentral:rRNA from 1 species